GUCAUAGCUCAGGGGUAAAAGCAUCUUCUUUCUGUGCAGAAGGUCACAGGUUCAAUCCCUGGUAUCUCCA